rnacentral:piRNA from 1 species
UGCUGAGAAGUGACCAGAAGGCAGGAGU